UGAACCCUUGACCUCACUGGCUCAAUCAGAAAGCUCACCUCAGAAUUCUAGAACUGAAAAGGAGGAAAACCAGGGCUGUAGUAAUAAAGGGCGAUGUUCUGGAGAUCUCAGUCAGGCUUUCUCUGGUGAGAUGGAUGAAGCUGAUGCAGAGGAAGCGAGGAGAGAUGGAAGGGGACCCCAGAAGUGCUGACGAGGAGGAGGGGCAGCUGGUGCCUGGGGGUCGGUCCCCUGCUCCUGUCACGUUAGCUGCCCUGGAGCCCUGGGGUAAGACCUACAUGACAAGGAAGAGUAAGGAAUACACUGAAGACUCGUUUGCAUAGCACACGACCAAGCCAAUAGGAAAGCCAAGACUGCCUUGACUUCUCCUCCUUUCACGUUUAAGGGGAUGCCUCAUUAGUGCCUUAUUUGAUGUAGAUUUUUCAAGCAAAUAGUGGUGGAUUACCUACGAAGCACCUACUCGAGCAGAACUAGACAUUAGCAGCUGCCCGAGCAAGCCUUUGGUGCCCUUUUGAGCAAAUUGAAAUGCGCAGAACUCGGAGAGUUGGGUGAAGAAGGCUGACCUUGAGACGGUGUGAGCAGUUACAGAGAACCUGAAACUCUGGCUUUUCCUACCAGCUUGUCUACUAGAUUAAGAGUGAUAGUAGCAAACAUUUGUCAUAUUGGCAUAUUAUAAUGUACGUCUAGGUCCUCGAGUGAACUGCCGGGGGGAGAAUUUUUCUGGAGACAACUGGGAGCUCUCUCUUCCACGAUCAGGGGUAGAGAGCGAAGGAGAAUGAAAAUCGGAGCAACCCUGCUGCAUAUGUAUUCUCGUGAGCUGCCUAGACAUCAUGCUGUCAUAGGGAACUGAAAAUGAGAAUAGAUUAAGUACAAUUGGUACCUGGGGAUAUCUGGUUCUGUCACUCACUAGAGGAUUAGCUUAAGAAACAACUAACCUCCCUGGGUCUUAGUUUCCUCCUCUGAGCACAAUGAAAAGAUUGGAUGGGUUGAUCUCUUCUAAUAUCACAUUUAUUGACGUUUCAGUAGCUUCCUAGUUCUUAGCUGGUGCCCAGCACAUAGGAAGCCAUUACAGAGCUUCUGAAUAAGGGACUGUUGAGUUAGAUGUAGGGAAACCUGGGGGUGAUCAUGUAAUGCAAGAAAAAACACAAGAAGCUUUAUGUGAUUGAUGAAUAAUACAUACACGGCAUCAAGAAAGAAAGGGUUAUACAUUUCAUAUUUUAGACUGAAUAUUUUCCUUGAUUUCUGUGAGGACUCUGAUGACUGAGAUGAUGGUCUUUAGAGUGAAACCAAAUCACUGAAUUCUGUAAAGUAGCCAAAUAAUCAGUCCUAAAUGGACAGCCUUGGCGUAGGUGAUUCUUGGCAUCUAAAUUCUACAGGGAGGGUAGUGUUGUGGGUUGAAUUGUGUCUUCUUUGAAAAAGUAUGUUGAAAUCCUAAUCCCCAGUACCUGUGAAUUGGAUUCUACUUGGGAAUAGAAUCUUCGUAGAUUUAAUCAAGUUAAAAUCAGGCCAUUAUGAUGGACAUUAACCCAACGUGACUGGUGUCCUUACACGAAGAGGGACAACUGGGCACAGAUGCCCACAGAUAGUGCAGAUGGGCACAGGCAAGUGCUAUGAGAGGGUGGAAGCAGAGACUGGAAUGAAACCUCUACAAGCCAGGGAACACCGAGGAUUGAUGUUAAUCACCAGAAGCUGGGAGAGAGGCAAGAAACAGACUCCCCCCACCAGAGCCUUCAGAAGGAGCCAACCCUGCUGACACCUUGAUUUCAGACUUAAAGCUUCCGGAACUGGAGAGAACACAUUUCUGUUGUACUUUUAAUCUACUCAGUCUUUGUGAUGCCCUAGGAAAUGAACACAGGUAGGAAACAUCUCCCAAGCUAUUCUGUCUUGGAUGAUGAGUUUAAAAUAAGUCCAAGUAAUAGAAGAGAGCUCGAGUGGCCACCUAACUAUUUCUUUCCUAAUCAAGGAAAUCCAAGUUCUGAGAAACCCAAGGAUUGUGGCCUUGAGCUAAAUAUUCUCACUAAUCACCAGAAAAGGAGUCUUUUUUUUCCCUCCUGUGUUUAGAAACUGUCCACAAUCACCCACAGUGUCAACGAUGUGUGAAAUUUGCAACCCUCUGCUUUCUACUAUUCUAGUGAAAAUAAUUUUAAAGUGUAACUAUUUUAAGAUUAAAAGAUAAGCAUCAUGCCUUGUGUCCCAGAUUCAGGGUCUAUGUGUGUAUCUAUGAAGGCAAACAAGAGCAGAUCUCAGUGAGCUCUAGAGAGGAUGCUCAGUGCGGCUGACUCGGUUUCCUAGCAACUACAUGACACUAUUUGUCUCUUGCAUCAAAUGAAAUGGCAGUUGUACCCUGUGCUCCCUGCCCCCUCUUCCACAUUCACCUCCUCCCAAUGAAAUCGGGGGAGCACCUUUGGGAUAUCGAAUCUAUCUAGAUUGCUUGAUAGUUAAAGACAUGAAAGGAAGAAGUAUUAAUUUAUCAGGCAAGUAUUAUACGCUUCAGCACUAGCUAAUAUUGUGCAGAUGCUUCAAAGAAGUAAACAAAAUAUUAAGGUAUGAUCCCUGUCUCCCAGGAGCUUAAAAUGUGGUGAAAAUUGGGAUCGAGAGUGUAGUAGACGCAGGAGUCAGAUCGCCUUGGCCUUGAUCUGACCUUCAUGCAAACUGUAUCUGAAACAUUGGGCAAAUCACACACUCUCUGCUUCAUUUCUUCAUGCAUCAAAUUAUAGUAGCUCCUGCAUAUGCCAGAGGAGUUAUUCGUGUGAAGUCAUGUGCUUAAUCAAUAUCGUCUGUUGUUAUAUUACUGAUAUUACUUGUGAAAUUCCUUUGAGAAGCAAUAUUAACCAACAUAAAAACAAUUCUAGAGAAGACUUGAGAAUAAACACUAUGAAGCAUGAUUGAACCUUGACAUAUGUAGAACUCAUUGCAUGUCUGAUGUCACCAUUUUCAUCUUGAAAGGUUAAGCAAGAACCAGUGUUAUGGGCCAAUAAGGAAGGGCUUACCAAUAGGCUGUGUAGAGAAAGCAGUCUGUCCAGUUAAUUUUUUUCAUCAACUGGGUGGGAA